rnacentral:rRNA from 1 species
GACGAACGCUGGCGGCGUGCCUAAUACAUGCAAGUCGAACGCAGUGGGGACGGGUGAGUAACACGUGGGUAACCUCCCAUCAGAGGGGAUAACACUUGGAAACAGGUGCUAAACCGAUACUGAUGGAUGGACCCGCGGUGAAUUAGCUAGUUGGUGAGGUAACGGCUCACCAAGGCCACGAUGCAUAGCGGACCUGAGAGGGGGAUCGGCCACACUGGGACUGAGAAACGGCCCAGAAUCCUACGGGAGGCAACGGUAGGGAAUCUUCGGCAAUGGAGGAAAGUCUGACCGAGCAACGCCGCGUGAGUGAAGAAGGUUUUCGAGUCGUAAAACUCUGUUGUUGGAGAGGCGGUAUCUAACCAGAAAGACACGGCUAACUACGUGCCAGCAGCCGCGGUAAUUC